UACCCUAAAUUUUUGGCCCGACCUUAAAUGUUUUUAUGGCCUUGGAGAAUAUUUUUUUCAACUUUUUAGCAAAAAGUUGCAGAACUGCACUUUUAUGCUUUAAACAUGGCCAGUGAUGUUAGAAAUCAACUUACUGGUGUUCUAAAGGCAUAACCCCCUUAUUUGUAAUCAUUUUUUGAUUUUAGCAUGUUACCGGUAACAAAGAUUUUUUUAGGCCUAAGGGCUAUUUUCUCGUUAUUCAAUUAACACAGAUCGUUAUUGAAAGAUUUUAGCGCAUGAUAGCGCAUUUAACUCCCUCCCUCUUUGGUCGUAGAAACACCUCUGUAACACAGAAAGAAAAAAAAAACAGAAAAAAGUCUUCUAUGUCAAAACAUGUCUAUGUCCCUUUGUCAUACUUGAUGUCCUGAGCUCGCAAAAAUAAGCAUUGAGUCUUGACAUGACCAUGUUAAUGUUCUAUAAUGUUCACAUUUUACAGGAACUUAAGAAACUUGUAAAAAUAAAAAUAUCCUGUCAUGUUUUAUGAAAGAACAAAUUUCAAUGUAAGCAAAUGAUUGAAUUGUUUUCACACUUGGAAUGUCAGACAAUAUGCUAUCGAUGUUAUUUGCGGCUGCAUGUAUUUUAUAUUUACAGAAUUAUAAUUUUUUAUUGGGUGUGGGCAAAAUAUGGCUUCCAACAUUGGCAUCAGAUUAAGUUUUCGCAAUAGCUAGAAACACAAGGCGCAGCAGUGGUUUGGGGGUCAUGUGGAAAAGACUUUGAAUGGACCGUUUCCUUUUCAAGCAGAUGCAUUUCUGAUACGCUGAUUCUUGUUGAAUCGUCCUGCUUUAAGGUAGCAGUUAACAAUCAGCCUGUAUUAGAAUUUAUGCAUAGAUUACCAUUUCACCGCAUCGAUACGCUACGUAUAAUUGAAGAUGCUCAGCUUUGUCAGGCCAGCUUCUAAAGGCGGAGAUCAGCGGUAUAGCUGAAGGAAACAGAGGACGGUUCUAACGAGCCUUUGCAAACACUGUAAUAUAUGUGCAUUAUCCAAGUCCAAUUCCGGUGGCAAGUAAAAUGGAUACGGUCAUCUGGUAAAUUACAGAUAUUUGUAGUUUAAUUGCUGUAAACAUCCAAUCAGCAACCAGAGAUUUAUGCAGUACCUAUUAAGUGAGUAUAUUUUAAUUGGCUUAUAUGGC